CAACUUUUCUAGCCUUCUUGCCACUAUCUUAGGCAUACAGAAAAGGGACAAUUGAUACAAAGGCAUACUAGCCAACGUACUCUUUAUGAGGGUGAUUCUUCCACCUUUGGAGAUAAACUGUCGUUUUCAAAGGGCAAGUUUCCACCUCACCCUUUCUUCCACCCCAUCCCACACGGAAGAGGCCUUAUUGGGCGCCCCUAAGGGCAGCCCCAAAUAGGCUGAGGGUAGCUGAUCUACCUUGCAUCCAAGCUCCACAGCCAUCUCAAGUAUCUCUUCC
rnacentral:lncRNA from 1 species